rnacentral:lncRNA from 1 species
ACUGGUACAGAGACUUUGUCUUUCACACAGACUUCAAAUAUCUUUGGGAAUUUGUGCUCCUUAUUUACUGAGUGCUUGAGAAGAAAAGACAAAGCCAGUGGAAUGGUCCGAGUGUGGCAUCCGCUGCAUUUAUAAAGAAUAAGAGCUGCAGUGGGUGUGAUUCUUGGACAGAGUGGCGCUCAUCCUUGUUCCUGCAAUGAAGGACAUGCCAGCCUCCAGGCUCUUUGACAACAGAUGAUUGGAACUGUGCAAAUAUUAUGGAAGAUACCCCGUGUCAAGAAGCUGACAGCACACACGUUUGACUUCUUUUACCUUGAGAAAUGCCAAAACCUAGGGGGAAAGACUUAUUAUUGGGUGCAAUGCAAAGUCUUCACAAUUAUAAUUAAAAAGUAAAGUUUUCAUGAUUAUUAAUUUACUAAGUGAUAAUCAUAACAGAAAAUAAAAUACAUCUGAAUAUUAUAUCAUAAGAUAUAAUCUU